ACAAGCGUCGGAAGCCCCAGGGGACAGAAUAGAGCCAUUCAGAGCCAGGAUCGGGCCAUUGUGGGUCAACCAGCUCGGCGAGGUCCCGAUCUGCAAAGUAGCUGUCUCCAAGGCCUGAUGGACGAGAAGACGGGCAGCCGUGAAGCUCCCAGGCCCUGCUGGCCACUCUUCCUGCCUGGAGGUGAAAGUCAACUAACAUGUCAGCAGACACGUGAAGGUGCACAAGAUCAAGUGAAAAAAUGUUACAAAAGUUGUCGAAAUCAUCCAACAACCACACUGUUUAAGCUAACGAAAGGCGUUGACACACAGUCUCUCGUUUCUCUGAGAUAUGGUAUCACCUGACCGUGACGUACCGAUGUAGUCCUUCAUGACCUGGGGGUAAUCUCCAUGAAAGAGCGGGGUAGCGAACCAUCCCAUGUAGAACUGGAUGUAUCUCUCGGCCGCUUCAAUGUCCCUCUGGUUGGUGAUGUCCACGGGUUCCCCCCAAUCAGCUGUCAGCGAGAUCCCAACCAGGCCUGGACAGACACACACACACACACACACACCAACUUUAUUGUCCAGAAUAGCAGAAAUUCAUCUUCAGUCACAAAAUACCAAAACAGAACAAACAAACUGUGCUGUCAGCUUUUCUUUCUUUACCUUUUUGUUUGCUUCGCCACUUCAUGUCGUACGUGUGCCAAACUUUGGCGUGUGCCUGUGAAGGAAGGAUUUGUCACUUGGGAGGUUUGAGGGCGUUUUUACAUUGCUUUACUGGUACUUUUACUUAAAUAAAGGAUGUGAGUUCUU